rnacentral:lncRNA from 1 species
AAGGCAAGCCCCGGUUUUAUGCAUAACCGUUAUAUAUGCUAUUUUACUGCACUUAAUGUUUGUAGGCUUGUACUGUGCACUUAAGUGUAGGAGUUGACUGAAACCUUAGUUGCAUGAACUCAGGAUUCCUAUUGAGAUGAAUACUAGUAUGCUAGGUCGAGUAGCUGCUUUAUUAAAUAGGGAUCUCGGUAGAAGUCGAGUGAUUUUUCUAGCACUCGCGCGAGGUCAGGACAUUGAUUGUACCCACUUUCAUAUCAUACUGAUGUUGGUCUGUGGACACGGAUCCAUGGGGAUGCGUGGUCUACGAGAUGAAAAUGGAAUAAGGAUUAACGUGCGGAUACCUGUGUCAAGCGUUUGAACGUACUGAGCACAUGCCGAGAAAUAUGGUAAAUCGGUAAGCCUAGUACCUGAGUGAACCCGGCAGUGGACAUAUCCCCUCACGCGUCCUGAGACGAGGUCUCCCAUUCCGGUUAUGGUGGGUACAAGUGCGGUCACUGCACGAUGGCCAGUCGGGGUCAGUGAGGCAUUGUACGCCAAGGCGGUGAGCCCUGAUCUGCUGACGGGGAAUCGAUGGGGACGGUUGAUAUGUGUGGGGACGGAGUGCCCCUACAUGUCGUGUGUUUAGGUUUACCUUGCAAGGAUAAAAACUCGAUUCGAAUCGUCUGCUUCUCGCAGCUAAUGAGACUGCUUGAUCCAUUGUACUGCAUUGAGUAAUAAGUGGAAGUAUGAUGAGUUGAGAUAAGAUGUUGAUUGUUAAUAAAUGCUUGCUACCAUGUAUGAGUAGAUAGUCCACUUUUAGCCUUAAGAGAGUCACACUUAACUUUGACUAAGUUAAAAUCUUGAUUUAGAAACUCAGCUAGUGCUUUUGGCAACCAAACCCCACAGCCAAACAGCUGCAUGUCUAGAGGUAGAGGAGUAGACUCCUCACACCGGGUAAGUCUAGCUGAGUAUUAGUAUACUCAGCCUUGCUUGUGGCACAAUUUUUGCAGGUACUCCUUAGGAUGAUUGAUUGUUGGUGUGACUUGGCCUUCGUCCCUGCCACCGGGACAGACGGUCGAGUGGGUUACUACUUCUGCAGGAGAGGACCAGGAGGAGUAGCGUGGCCAGGCUUCGCCAUGUUACUCGGUUUUCUCCGUUAGUUAUUUCCGCUGCAUUAAAAUUUAUGGUUAUUAUUUCUGAAACUCCGAUAAUGUAAUCACUAAUGAUACUUAUUAAAUUUGUGGUAUUAUGUUUUAUUGUAUUUCUCUGUGCCUCACCUUCGAGUGAGCUAGUGGUAUUCGAUCCUGGAUAAGUGGCCUUGUCGGACUAGAUCCGAGGGACUGACGGGUUAUUCUGGUUUAAGUGCGUUGCUGCCCUUGCGGGUGUGACUUGGGCACUUAAGCUGGAAUAAUUCGGGCGGUUCCGCCACAGCUGGUAUCGGAGCGAAUACCAGUACAGAGAAGUCAAUAAGUCAUGAUUUCCAACCUUUUCUAAAGUAAAACUUGCUUAGAAACCAAAGUUGGAUAGAUAUCAGGACGAUAAGUUAGACCUAGGACGUGAAGCCCUAGGAAUAGAUGGUUAGCUAGGUGGCUAGUUAUUUAGGCCAUAAAGGCUACUACUACUAUUAAUAAGGAUGCUGUAGAAGCACCCGAAAAAUUAGUUAGGUCUGAGAAGAUGACUAGAAUGAGCAUGCAUCAUGAUUGUCGCAUUAUAAUUGUCUCUUAUGCAUCAACAUGCUUCUCUCACCUUUAUUCCAAUAAUAAAAACUUGUGAAUAAUGUGAUGUACUGCUAUGUUAGAAAUGUCUUACCUCGUGUCAGAUUGGUAAGUCUUGUUAGGUCGUGCUAUGUGUUUCUCCUGCCUUGCCAUCUAGGUAGUAUUGUAAUUGUUCAACCCUUUUUGCAAAACAUUUUGUUGCUUGUUCGGUUCAUAAAAAGAUCCCCACCCAAAAAAAACCUCGAGUUUAGCAAGUGAAACCUAUUUAAAAAAAUCAUUCUUAUGAUUGGUGUUUUCUAACCCUUGUGUGUUUUACCCUUGAAGUAAACCUGCACAGCUUGUAGACCCCCAUAGCUUAACCACUAGCCAAACCGAAACUUCCUUGUGCACGUGGUUAUGUCAAAAAAAAAACAUCGUUUGUUGUCUAGUUGCGCAAACCAUAACCAAGCCAUGUUCUUUCUAUAAAUCCUUGCCCCUAAAACUUCAUAGCAUUUUCGCUGCUCAUCCUAGCAGAUCUUGUUUUCCUACCUCUCCUUGGUCCGAAUCUGGUAAUCUUUUUCCUUGAGAAUCAUGUUGUGGCUUAAUCAUCCAAAUCUCUGGACCCCUUAAUGAUCCUGCCCUAUUAUCUAGGUAUCUGCUAUAACCGUUCUCGAGUAUCAGAUGUUGAUCUUGCCUAAAUCUCUCAUUUUUGGUCAUUCGCAUACCCCCUUCUCUGAGGAUCAUGACGUUGUUUUAUCGAUUCUAUCUCUAAGCAGUGUAUCCAUUUGGUUCAAUGGAUUAUGCUGUUGACUUUGGUUCUCUCAUGUCUCAUCAAGUUGCCAAUCUUGAUCUCAUGGUUGGUUCCUCCUCAUAUUAAAGAUCGUAUCCAUCUUUGGCUGAUAAUCUACGUGUUGAUCAUAAAAUAGUUCUCUGAGUUCAAGAAAAUUCUCAUGUGAUGCUCUUUUGCCAGCAAUCUCUGCUUCAACUCCGAUCACAUUCUUAUUUUCUGAGCCAUACUCUCAUAGGCUCCAUCUAUUUAUGCUAUGUGGAGUUCUCGUUGGUUACGUUUGGUAAUGGUGUCAUGACUAACGAUUGAUGGUGCCGCGACGAGACCGAGAGCCAACUAUGGUGCACACAUGGUUGAGUUGCUCGGCACGCGCUGGUAUCACGGUUAAUAGUUGUGAUCCAUUAUAAGACUACACCGAUGUGCUAUCUUUUGUGGACACUCUCAGAAUGAUCGCUGCAUUUUGUCUCGAUAUGUCGCGAUAUUCUAACCAAAUCUGUCUUCAGUAUCUUGUCAGAUACCCUCCCAUGAAUUUGCAUCUAUCUUUAGUCUGGGAGUUACAUGCUUCUCCACCCUUAAAGAUCCUCAUUCGAAUCUCGGGACGAGAUUCUUUUUAAGGGGGGAAGGCUGUGACACCCCAGGUGUCAGUUUCGUGUUACGUCGUGAGAUUAAUCCUAAUCUCGGAUGCUCAGUAAAAAUUUCUCUUUCUCGCUCGCGUAUGUCUCUGAUUAUCCAGAUUAUUUGUUCACAUUUCGCCGAAUUCGGAAUUAUUAAAUCUCACAGGCGGCCAAUUUUGGAGCCUGUUAAAACUUUUAAUUCUCGGCACGAAUGCGAACUUGAUAAUCUAUCUCGAAUUAUAAAUCUCAUCUGAAGCUCAUUUAAUCAAACGCUCGACAGCUGCUAAUCGAGCUGUGUCCGACUCCGAUUUCUCGAUGAUUCGAUCUAUGUUCAAAAAUUAAUCCGACUCCGUACUCUCAAACGGAAUGCUCAAUAUGUCGUCCACUAAUCAGUUUUGUCCGACUCAGCCAAAUAUCUCAUGUCCGAACCGAACUCAAAACCCCGUAUCGACAGCGAUUUUAAAAAUAUCACGAUUUGCCUUCUUCGACUAAAAAUCCAAGCCGAUCAAAUCUCAGCGAUUUAUUUUCGAAUCACGCGUAGGGAAUUAUUUCCGAGCAAAUUCAAAUCAAACUCUCGGUCGAAUUAAUCGCUCAAUCUUUCGUUCGUCCGAACUCCAGUUCGCUCUGUUUUUACACAGACGAAAUCCGCAGGAACAUUUUUAUUCCGGAAAAUAUUUAGCGCAGCCCGAAUUACACGUUUUGGGCCAAGCCCAUUUAAAACCCAGCCCAUUAGGCCCACUAAGAAACCCUAACCCUAGGGCUUCUCUAUAAAUACAAACCCCUCUCCCUUGCACUUGGCUUUUAUUCACUCCCACCCCUAGCCGCCACAGCCAUCCCUCCCUCUCUUCUCCUUCAGCCGACGUGCACACGCUCCCUGUCUUCUUCCUCACGGUGGCCAGCAGGAGAGCUCGGCCAGCAGCCAUGGCCUCCUCCACUUCUUCCCCAUGGAAACCGGCCCCCUCUCCAUGCUCAGCUCCACCUCCCUGCGCCAUGGACAGUAGCGCUCGGCGCCCCUCCCUGAGCCGACCUCGGCCUCGGCCAGGUCUAUGCCCAUGGCGUCCCCUGCUCUUCACUGCCCGGCCAGGAAACGCCCAGGCCAGGAGCACCUUGAGCUCGCCCCUGCUUGCUCCGGAUGCUCGUCUUCCCCGGCGCCGUCAGGCUCCUCCAUGGCCGUCGGCCCCCUGCAGCUUCCCAAGCGCCCCCUCUCUCCGUGGCGAGCAGCAAGCUGGCGCCCCCCUGCUCCCAGCCAUGGCGUCCAGAAAAUCCUCCCGCCGAGCCCCAAGCAGCGGCUCCUCCCUCGGCACCUCCCCUUGAGCAGCAACCGCGACAACUUCGCGAUUUGGCGGCUCCCUGUUUUGCGCAGUCCAGUGGACAGCACCACCCCUCCCUCCACUUUGGCUAAAGCAUGCCCGACCCUAUACAGCGCAGCUCCUCGCAGCCGAGAUUUCCCCCACAACCCCGCAACAUUGGCGCUUCGCGGGUGUUCGAUGUAAUGCCCGAGUGAAGCUCUAUGUCAUGAACGGCAGUGAAGUCACUGUCACCGUGACCUCGCCUUUGUGCGUGGCUCGCAUUGCUCUGCGUCGUCGUCGAGUCUCCUUGCAAGCUUGCGGUUUAACCAAAACCUUGUUUGCGUGCGAGUGGAGAACCUCGAUGAAGUAAGUAAUGAAGAGUAAGCUGUCCCUUUUAUUGUCCAACUAAUGUUAGGCGAUAUCUUGUAAUGCGUUGAAUGUUGGUAAAGUCUAUUAUUCAUAUGUAGUGCCGUGAACGCGUGUGCGAAUCAGGGAAUUAACUGAGUUAUGUUGAUUGGACGUGAUGUGUAAAUUUAAAAAUAGUAGGUUUGUGUGUAGGGUGUACUAUUGCACAUGUAUGUCGAUGUAUUGUAAUAGUGAUUGCGUUAGAGUCAUUGAAGUAUUUUGAAUGCAUGCCAAAUAUGGUUGCAUCCGAAAUAGGGGAAGAGUCAUGUUGUGCGAUGAAAAGGCUAGAUUGAUUUUAUAGGUUGUACGAAAAUCGUUCUAUUAAGUGUAUACGUCGAGUGUGUUAAAAAGAUCCUAUGUAGGCAGAAUGUAGUGUAGUGGUUAGGCGAAGAGUUUUAUAAUAAACAAGUGUGAGGCGUGCAAUUAAGUCGAGAUUGAAGUGCAAAUCCUAUGCAAUGUGAUGGGAUUCGUGAUUAUGUAGGAGUUAUAAUUGUUGAUGUGACGAGUAGUUUAGAAAAUGCUCGUUUGCGUAGAGGAUGUAUCGUUGAGACAUGAGUGCCGAAGUUCAUUUAUAUUAGUGGUCGCGCCACAUUGAUUGAAGUGUCCCGAGUGCACGCCAUAAUAUGGUUGUAUGCGAGACAUAGUAAAAUAAGGGGUGCUCGGUGGGGAUGAUCAGUCGUUGUAGGUGGAAAUCGCCUUGAUUGAUUAGAGAGGUGGUGACAUGCCGAAGUAGUCAUCGCUUCCUCUAUGUUUAUAUGUCGAGUCAAAAUGCGGGGUACUAGUAGUACGCUAGGCAGGCGGUGUUCCAAAUAGAUAAAUCGGGUGAUGUGGUAGUUGUCAAGCGUGAUAGAGGUUGAGUCACUUAGGUUAUACAUUGAUGCUCGACAUGUGAGGUCUCCUAAAAUAUGGUGUUUUAAGUGACUGAUGCGUUGUCCAGUUUAAGUUGAGAAAGUGGUUAAGGAAAACUAAUUAACUUGCUCCCACCUAUGUUUUUGAGUUGCGAAGUCUAGAAUACUUUGCUAAGUGUUAUACUGGUUAACCAACUUGUUAGAUGACUUUAGUUAAGCUCGUAGUCACGAUGAAUUGUGUAUUGUAGUCUAUAUGCGUAUGGUUAUGGUCACGGAUGAGAAGUAGUAGUGCUCAGGUGAUGCCUAAAUUAAAAUGCAAACUAGUGGGUGAAAAGCGCUUAGAUAUAAGUAUAUGCCGGAUUUGAUGAUUGUGGUGAAUGCGUUUGUUAACUGAAUGUGGUAAUUUUAGUACACUAAAUGAUUUGGAUAAAAUUUGUAAGUCUACUUGUUAGUCAUCAUUUAAUUAAUUCAACCCUAACGAAUGGUAAAGUGUUAGAAUAGUUCAAGAACUUGGAACGCGACAAUUCUUGAAUUGUAUAGGAGCUGAAAUUUAUUAAUCGCUGUUUUGGGCUGCACGUACUGUUUUCGGUGUGCGGUAUGUUUGAUGAACUAAAUUGUGUUUUCUGUAGAUAUGUGCUAUAGAAAAGAUGUAGAUAACAUUAUUAUCUUACUGGUGUUAAAAUUUGACAGCCAUAGGUUCGACAGUUUAGGAGUUAUGUAUUUUACAAAUUCAGUAACUGAAUCUGUCCAAAUUCUGUACAGAUUUCAGAAACUGUAUUGUUUGUUCAAUUUAAUGUUACAAUCUGUUCAUGGUCAUUAUAAGAAAGUUGUAGAUGCUUUUCUGAUCUUGCUUGUGUUAAAAUUUCAUAGCUAAAGGCCUGACGGUUUAAGAGUUAUGAAUUUUACAACUUGGUUGCUGUGUUCUGUCCACUGACAGAACAGAUUUCGAAAACUGAAUUGUUUGAUUCAGUUCAACAUAGAAUCAAUUCUUGGUGAUUAUAAAAGUUAUGUAGUUCUUUUUCUGAGCUUUCCAAAAAGUCUUGGAUCACUCUUUUUGGUGGUCUGAAGAUUUAGUUAUGAAUGUUUAAAGUCUGAAGACUGAAUCUGUCCAAUUCUGGACAGCAAAGCCUUCUAAUGUAUUUUAUCCUUAGUUGACUAUUGAAUCACCUUAAGAUGUUUAUAAGUGAUAUGUAGACAAUUUUAUUACCUUUCCAGAAAGUCUAGGAUCACCUUGUUUGGAUGCCUGAAUCUUCAGUUAUGAAUUUUUAAAGUCAUAAGUCUGAAUCUGUCCAAAUCUGGACAGCGCUGUUGUGUUAACACCUUUUGACCUUGCUAAGUGUUUAAUCAUGCUGUGAUGACAAUACCAAAGUUGUAAAGCACUUUUCAAGCUUUCUAGAAAGUCCUAGUUUACUAUUUUUGGUUAAAUAUCUUGUGAGUUAUGACUGAAACAAGUGACUGCUGUAUUGCUGCCCAAAAAUUCUGCUAGUGCGCUUUUGAUUGUUUAGUUCACCCUUGUCGCUAAAAAUAUUUGGUUUGCUCUUAAGUAAUGUAGACUUGCCAUAUUUAAGCUAGAGAUGAUAUGUGUGUCUUGUUUUAUAUGUUUCUUCUUUAGUUGAUUGUGAUAUAGAAUUUCCAUAGCCAUUGAUGGCUAUGUCAUCGGUUAAACUUGUGUUGGAUGCUUUUGUGUGAUAAAUAGAAGAACUAAUGAAAAGCCGUAGCAAAUUAAAUAAACGCUUGUACUUAUGAGGUCGUAUUUGUGAUGCGUAAGUAUACGAAAUGUUUGUCAUCUUUUUAGUGGUGUUAAUGUUGUGCGCUCGACGAUAUGUAGUUAGCUAACGCUUGUGUGUGGUUGCCUGUGAUGUCUCGCUACUUAGUGUUUAAUUCGCUAGCGUGUACUUGUCAUAUCGUAUUUAGGUUGCGUAAAUAAUUAAAAUAUGGUCGUCUUGUUAAUGGUGUUAAUGAUGAACGCCGAUAGCAUACGAAUAGCUAGCGUUUGCGUAUAGUCGUUGCGGUGUCUUACAAUUAAAUGUUAGUUCGCUACCAUCCAUUUUGGGAUUAUCUUGUGAUAUAUUUCAUCAUAUUCAUACAUAUGCAUCCUACAUCUCAUUUAGGACCGAGAGAUAACGAUCGUGCAAGUGAUGUGGUGCCAACAACAAGAUGCAGUUGGUGGACGACCUGAAGAGUGAUGGACUUAACCAGUGGAUGCUCGCCAAGCGAGUACCUCCCCCAGCAAACACUACUUAAGUGUUAAAUUAAAGGCAAGCCCCGGUUUUAUGCAUAACCGUUAUAUAUGCUAUUUUACUGCACUUAAUGUUUGUAGGCUUGUACUGUGCACUUAAGUGUAGGAGUUGACUGAAACCUUAGUUGCAUGAACUCAGGAUUCCUAUUGAGAUGAAUACUAGUAUGCUAGGUCGAGUAGCUGCUUUAUUAAAUAGAGAUCUCGGUAGAAGUCGAGUGAUUUUUCUAGCACUCGCGCGAGGUCAGGACAUUGAUUGUACCCACUUUCAUAUCAUACUGAUGUUGGUCUGUGGACACGGAUCCAUGGGGAUGUGUGGUCUACGAGAUGAAAAUGGAAUAAGGAUUAACGUGCGGAUACCUGUGUCAAGCGUUUGAACGUACUGAGCACAUGCCGAG